AAAACUCCCUGGCAUCUCCCAAAGGACAACAGGUUUUCUCAGGUGCUCACGCUAUCCAUGUUUUUUUCCACAUGACACCCAAAACAAGGGACUAGGUUCCACCAUCAGACGAUAACGGAACAAAAGUAACAGCAUCCAGGUGCUACAAAGAUAAAGAAGUCAGCUGCCGCAAAAUGCUAGACAGCACAAGUAAAACGACAACCGAUGAGAACUAAAGAGCUAGCUAGUCUAAAUCGUAGGCCAACAACUCAAAAACCAACGCAAUGUCAAUAACACAACAAAAGUUCCUCUUGAUUGCUGGACACUCCAAUGCUGCAAGCUUCAGUAGCAAAACUCCCCCACACGCAUCAAAACAUUGCUUAUUUUUUCUUUUUGUUCCCUUUCUCUUUAUAUACUCUUCAGUUUGCUUUAAUUUUCCUCCAUAGCAGCUUCAUUUGUUCUUUCAUCUUCAUUAUCAGCACCUUAAGGUCCUCUUGCUUCUAUCCGCAACAUCUGUCCGCUCGACUCGUCAGAUCCACCUGCGUGUUGCGCCAGCAGUUCCCUUUGAAAUCUCUCUGCUCCUUGCUCCAGCAUCGCAUACCACCAUCAUUUUGCAAACCUGCCCAGUAGCGCAUUAAAUCUUUUCCAUAAUUGCUAUAUGGCUUAUCACUACUGUAGUGUAAAAGAUCUAGCAACACAAGGAACAGCAAAAAACAGGAAUAAAACCAAAAUCAUUUCUUCACUUUCUUUAGCACAAAAUAACAAAAACACUGAAAACUGGUCAAUGUAAGGGUUUCUAGAGGAAGGAAAAAAAAAUCUAUACUAUAGUCAACAGCAGAUAUAGUUGAAGUUGACAUGUUAAAAAAAAACUCGUAUCAAUCUAGAUCUCUAGAUGUAUUUUCUCAGAUUCAAACUGAUGAUCGAGAAAGAUAGAAAUCUCUCUUCCAGAUAUAAAUAAUUAAAAUGACAGACAAAUUUUAUUACCAAAGUAGACUGCAGGCUAAAAAGGUUAUUUUGCAGAACUGAAGCUUACUUCAAAUUGACUGUCCAUCUUAUAUAAGUGGCAAAUUCUCAUAGUUCUGUAAUAUAUCAGACUGAACACCAUCUUCUUUUCUAAAUUCGAAGGAACACAGUCCUAAGUAUGGUGACUAUAUAAUCUGGAUUAUCCAGUUGGAGCUUGUCAACUUGCGUUAUGUGAAUAUGUACCAGCAAUGGCAGAAGUAGGAUCCAUAGAACGAACAAAUUCAAACUGAUGAGUUUAAUAGAGUAAUGCGUAAUUAACAAAACCAAGAUAUUUAUUAACUGUUAAUAGCAAAGUACACCAUCUGCGCGCUUCGAAUCGGAGUCAGGAUGUGUAAAGAUGACAAAAACAAAAGCUAUAAUUUUAACGGUAGAUAACAGCAACGUGGAUGCAACUAUUUGUUUCAAAUUUAUAGAUUUAUAACAAUGAAUGUCAAUGGCUGUAUAUUUUCUUUUAAGCUCCUCUAUUCACACAAAGCACAAAUUAUACUACAAAUUAGCAUGGGGAAAUACAUCUAAACUUUCAAUGACAAUAGUACGAUACAUUGUUUUCUCUUUUUGGGCUAUCCCUGGGUAAAGCCCUGCAUUGGGGAUGGUACCGCAAAGCCACAUGGAAGAAGAAACACAACUGAUUGCAAAGAACAGCAGAUAAAUACAUCAGUAAUCUACUAUAAAAAAAGAAUCCAUUCAGAAUCCUGAGAGUUUUGCGUUAUUUCUGGCACACACAAAAUAAGUUAAAAGGACGCAUGGAGCAAUAUCCCUAAGUUCAGGAAGAGCUGCCAUGACCUUGUUACGUUUAAGAUUUUUUUUCUUCUGGUCAGGUGGUGAUGCAGUGUAGUAAUUAAAAUUGAUAUACUGAAAGCACCAUCCUCUAGUCUAAACAUUAUCAAUUUAUUUUCUAUGUACGAUAAAUCUGUCGGGAAAGAUAAAUAUUGCACAUAAUAUGAGGUCAGAUGAUUUUUACUAAAAUUUUGGUCUAAAUCAGAUUCAAUUCUUCAAUCAAUAGAGCAAAUUCUAUUUCAGAGAAAGCAAGUGCAAGGGAAUCUGUCCAAUAAUAUUAUGGAUGAAAGCAAAGAAGAAGGCAUGAUAAAAGAGAGGGGAGUGAGCUCUUCUACGCCAACACAAAGGCCAGCGGAGUCCUUUUGGUUGCACCAGCCACAAUGACACAUGUGAAAUGGCUCAGUUGGAUCAUGUAAUAUAGCUCAUCAUCAACUAAGCAACCUAUCUUUUAUGUCAGCACAAUGUUAAGAAGAAAAAUAAAGUAUAUAUUACUUGAGAGGUUGAGAUACAUACCUUCCCAAUCAGUGCUGACCAUUAAGAAUAAUUACACUGUACAGACAGCCAAUCAAAAGAUGACACAUUAAUUGGGAGGUCCACCUAAUAAGAUCACACAUAUCUGUUGGCUGUUUAAUAGAAAACACCAUAUGCCACAAGUUCUAAGAAAUAUCUGUCAGUUAUGAAUACUAGAGAGGACCUUUCGCAACGUUAUCAAAUCCUCCAUCUCUUAAUUGAAAUGCCUCAUAUAUUCCUAAAUUCAACGAUCCAAACAGUCCCAAUUGAUCUUGAGCCAAC
rnacentral:lncRNA from 1 species